UACGUAGGGUGCGAGCGUUAAUCGGAAUUACUGGGCGUAAAGCGUGCGCAGGCGGUUUGCUAAGACCGAUGUGAAAUCCCCGGGCUCAACCUGGGAACUGCAUUGGUGACUGGCAGGCUAGAGUAUGGCAGAGGGGGGUAGAAUUCCACGUGUAGCAGUGAAAUGCGUAGAGAUGUGGAGGAAUACCGAUGGCGAAGGCAGCCCCCUGGGCCAAUACUGACGCUGAGGAGCGAAAGCGUGGGGAGCGAACAGG
rnacentral:rRNA from 1 species